UUUUCUCAUGAAAACUUCUCACUUGGUUUUUUUUCAACACAAAUAUUUUACUAUGUUUUCCUUUGUUGUUCUUUUUCUACUAUAAUGAUCUGUUUCUGAAAGCCAUAUUUAUUGUGAUGAAUUAAAUAGAAACAGGUGAUAAUGAUAAAAUACUUCCACAAAUUUAGAAGCAUUGUUGAUGUAUCUAUCUUUAUAGCAAUAUAUAGGCAAAAAUUCUUAUCCACCUCUGACUGCUUUGCACAUUUAGCUUUCCUGCCUGAGACAUAAUCAUCUCCCUCUGGUUUUAAUAGAAAUUUCUAUAAACAAAAAACCAUAAAACUUUCACACUUCUUUUUCACUUACAUGGGAAACAUGACAGACAAAUGUCUGUUUUAGUGCAGCAAAACUUUUCUGUGGUAUUGCAUACAAAAUGCAUAAAUACCGCAAUUGCCACGAGCCUCUUCCCUUGUCUACUUUAAUCAAAAGACUUUUGAUAAUGUGUGUUAAACUUAACUUGAAAAUAGAAAGCACUUUUUUGUAGGUACCGCAAACAUUGUUUGGAGCAGAAUUAAUGGCACAGUGAUGCAGAACACUCGUGAAUUUUCUUGGUUUAAAAAAUAGCGUUUACAAUAGGCAGAAGAACCAAGUAUCUUUGCCUUGUUGAAGACACAUUGUUUGGAGAAUAUUGAAUUAUAAUUUUUUAAGUGUCUCAGCACGUUCACAGAUAAGUGAUGUGCAACUUUGAGUGCAGUUCGACUUUUUGACAGAAAAAUCAAACUCACUGCUGAAGCUCAUUUCUUUCUUCAAAAAUUGCAUACAUGAGUCAUUAGCACCUUUAACAAGCUGGAAGAUCUCCAAAUUUAUUUGGUCAAUAACACUCAGCUUCAGAGUACUCCAUUAAUUUCUUUCAGGUUCUUGAUGAUGUGCCUCUCACAAAGCUGAUGAGCAUGUUCACAGCUCUUUCACUUAACAAUGGGACAUAUGGCAUGUUCAUCAGCUGCGCUAGGCCCUCUGCAGAAACAAAACUUUUCAUGGAGCAAGCAUGGACAAAUAUUAUAGUCCAGAAAGAUGAGUCAACUGGGUGAAUAACAUACUUCGAA
rnacentral:lncRNA from 1 species